rnacentral:rRNA from 1 species
UACGUAGGCAGCAAGCGUUGUUCGGAAUUACUGGGCGUAAAGAGUGUGUAGGCGGUGCUCUAAGUUUGGCGUGAAAUCUCCCGGCUCAACUGGGAGGGUGCGCCGAAAACUGGAAUGCUUGAACGUGGGAGAGGAAAGCGGAAUUCCUGGUGUAGCGGUGAAAUGCGUAGAUAUCAGGAGGAACACCUGCGGUGUAGACGGCUUUCUGGACCAUUGUUGACGCUGAGACACGAAAGCGUGGGUAGCAAACAGG